UACGAAGGGUGCAAGCGUUACUCGGAAUUACUGGGCGUAAAGCGUGCGUAGGUGGUUGUUUAGGUCUGUUGUGAAAGCCCUGGGCUCAACCUGGGAAUUGCAGUGGAUACUGGGCGACUAGAGUGUGGUAGAGGGUAGUGGAAUUCCCGGUGUAGCAGUGAAAUGCGUAGAGAUCGGGAGGAACAUCCAUGGCGAAGGCAGCUACCUGGACCAACACUGACACUGAGGCACGAAAGCGUGGGGAGCAAACAGG
rnacentral:rRNA from 1 species